CAGGCCUAUACAUGCAAGUCGAGGGUGAUUAUCGGAUUCGUCUGAUAUGAAACCGGCGCACCCGUGCGUAACACGUAUGCAACCUACCUUUAACUGGGGUAUAGCUCAGAGAAAUCUGAAUUAAUCCCCCAUAACACUACGACAUGGCAUCAUGAUGUAGUUAAAGCUCCGGCGGUUAAGGAUGGGCAUGCGGUACAUUAGCUAGUUGGUGAGGUAAUGGCUCACCAAGGCUACGAUGUAUAGGGGGUCUGAGAGGAUGAUCCCCCACACUGGUACUGAGACACGGACCAGACUCCUACGGGAGGCAGCAGUAGGGAAUAUUGGUCAAUGGACGAAAGUCUGAACCAGCCAUGCCGCGUGAAGGAUGAAGGCCCUCUGGGUCGUAAACUUCUUUUAUUAGGGAAGAAACCUCAGGAUGCGUCCUGAGCUGACGGUACUUAAUGAAUAAGGAUCGGCUAACUUCGUGCCAGCAGCCGCGGUAAGACGAAGGAUCCAAGCGUUGUCCGGAUUUACUGGGUUUAAAGGGUGCGUAGGCGGAAAAUUAAGUCAGUGGUGAAAGCCCGCAGCUCAACUGUGGAACUGCCAUUGAAACUGGUUUUCUUGAAUAUAGCUGAGGCAGAUGGAAUAUAACAUGUAGCGGUGAAAUGCUUAGAUAUGUUAUAGAACACCGAUUGCGAAGGCAGUCUGCUAAACUAUUAUUGACGCUGAGGCACGAAAGCGUGGGGAGCGAACAGGAUUAGAUACCCUGGUAGUCCACGCCCUAAACGUUGAUUACUCGCUGUUGGCGAUAUACUGUCAGUGGCUAAGCGAAAGCAUUAAGUAAUCCACCUGGGAAGUACGACCGCAAGGUUGAAACUCAAAGGAAUUGACGGGGGCCCGCACAAGCGGAGGAGCAUGUGGUUUAAUUCGAUGAUACGCGAGAAACCUUACCUGGGC
rnacentral:rRNA from 1 species